CAAAGAAUAGUUUAACGUAAGAAUCUUAGCUUUGGGAGUUGAGGGUAAGGGUUAAAAUCCCUUUUCUUUGA
rnacentral:tRNA from 1 species